GAUGAAGAACGUAGCGAAAUGCGAUACGUAAUGUGAAUUGCAGAAUUCAGUGAAUCAUCGAAUCUUUGAACGCAUAUUGCGCUCUCUGGUAUUCCGGAGAGCAUGCUUGUUUGAGUAUCAGUAAACACCUCAACUCCCUUUUCUUUUUUGAAAUUGGAGCUGGACUUGAGUGAUCCCAACGCUUUCUUCCAAGAAAGUGGCGGGUUGCUUGAAAUGCAGGUGCAGCUGAACUUUUCUCUGAGCUAUAAGCAUAUCUAUUUAGUCUACCUAAAAAACAGAUUAUUACCUUUGCUGCAGCUAACAUAAAGGAGACUAGUUCUUGUGCUGACUGAUGCAGGAUUCACAGAGACAGCUUCGGCUGACUUUGUAAACUCGAUCUCAAAUCAAGUAAGACUACCCGCUGAACUUAAGCAUAUCAAUAAGCGGAGGA
rnacentral:misc_RNA from 1 species